AGCAGCCGCGGUAAUUCCAGCUCCAAUAGCGUAUAUUAAAGUUGUUGCAGUUAAAAAGCUCGUAGUUGAAUUUCGGGGCCAGUAGGUUGGUCGUGCCACUGGUAUGCACUGGCCUUACUGGUCCCUCCUUCUUGUAGAACCGUGAUGCCAUUAAUUUGGUGUUGCGGGGAAACAGGACUGUUACUUUGAAAAAUUAGAGUGCUUAAAGCAGGCUCGCGCUUGAAUACAUUAGCAUGGAAUAACGGAAUAGGACGAUCGAACCUAUUUUGUUGGUUUCUAGGAUCGACGUAAUGAUUAAUAGGGAUAGUUGGGGGCAUUAGUAUUCAAUUGUCAGAGGUGAAAUUCUUGGAUUUAUUGAAGACUAACUACUGCGAAAGCAUUUGCCAAGGAUGUUUUCAUUAAUCAAGAACGAAAGUUAGGGGAUCGAAGACGAUCAGAUACCGUCGUAGUCUUAA
rnacentral:rRNA from 1 species